AUUGAACGCUGGCGGCAGGCCUAACACAUGCAAGUCGAACGAGUGGCGGACGGGUGAGUAAUGUCUGGGAAACUGCCCGAUGGAGGGGGAUAACUACUGGAAACGGUAGCUAAUACCGCAUACCAUCGGAUGUGCACAGAUGGGAUUAGCUUGUAGGUGAGGUAACGGCUCACCGAGGCGACGAGCCGUAGCUGGGCUGAGAGGAUGACCAGACAAACGGUAACUGAGAAACGGUCCAGACUCCUACGGGAGGAAGCAGUGUGGAAUAUGUCACAUUGGGCGCAAUCUUGAUGCAGCCAUGCCGCGGGUAUGAAGAAGGCCUUCGGGUUGUAAAGUACUUUCAGCGGGGAGGCGUUACCCGCAGAAGAAGCACCGGCUAACUCCGUGCCAGCAGCCGCUGUAAUUC
rnacentral:rRNA from 1 species